UUGCUCGCUUCAGCAUCACAUAUACUAAAAUUGGAGCAGUACAGAGAAGAUUAGCAUGGCCCUUGCACAAGGAUGAUACACAAAUUAGUGAAGUGUUCCAUAUUUUA